rnacentral:rRNA from 1 species
AACGAACGCUGGCGGCAGGCUUAACACAUGCAAGUCGAGCGAGACCUUCCGGUCUAGCGGCGGUCGGGUGGGUAACGCGUGGGAACGUGCCCUUCUCUACGGUAUCCUUCCGGUAAACUUGGCGUCAUACCGCAUACGCUAUUUGGGGAAAGAUUCAUCGGCGACGGAUCGGGCCGUGUUGGGUUAGGUAGGUGGUGGGGGAAUGGCCCACCAAGCCGAGGAUGCAUAGCUGGUUUGCGUAGAUGAUCAGCCACACUUGGGCUGAGACACGGCCCAGACUGCUACGGGAGGGAGCAGAAGGGAAUCUUAGAGGAUGAAGGCUAACGUGAUCAAGCCGUGCGGGGUAAGUGAUGAAGGCCUUAGGAUUGUAAAGCUCUUUGAGCUGAGAAGAGAAUGACGGUACCGGCAGAAGAAGCCCCGGCUAACUCCGUG